CGAGUAUCCCAUUUUCUAAAGCACAGCAUGUAAAGGGUAGCUCGGUUAGCAGGAUGCUAGCAUGUAGCGCUUAGUGAGACACGCCUCAGACGAGUUGAGCAAAGACCCCGUCUGUGUACUUUAUACGUGAGCAACGGAUUUAAAUAAAAUUAAGGUUUCAAAAGACAAACUUGAAGAUAAAAAAAUAUAUAUACUCACCGGAGAGCCGCCAGGGUUUGCCGCUGCCAUCUUGGCGCUCCUAAAUUCAAAACUGCCUCUGCAGUCAGGCAGGGGAGGCGUGGAAAUUGUCUUUGAGUUAGUCAAACGUUUUCCUUAGUUCGAGUAGAUGAUAAAAAAAAAUAAUAAUAAAUGGGAUUUUAAGUAGGACUAGGCGUUCUGUAAUGAUCUCUAUUUAGGAGAAAAACUUAAUCACUCACCUUUAAACAGCUCUCUUUUAGGAGACACACUGCUGGCUAACGGUGUCAUGUGAUCAAACAGCGUAAUUUAAUUGGCUGAGAGCCACUCGACUCGAUCUGGUGCUGAUUGCUCUGGCUUGGGUCAUUAAAGUUCAUCACUUUUGCAGUUGAAUUUUUGCAGGUGAAUUUUUGCAGGUGAAUUUUUUGCAGGUGAAUUUUUUUCAGGUGAAUUUUUUGCAGGUGAAUUUUUGCAGGUGAAUUUUUUGCAGGUGAAUUUUUUGCAGGUGAAUUUUUGCAGGUGAAUAUUUUUGCAGGGAAAUUUGGAGGAUAAAAAUUCAGUGUCAUAAAUUCAAUGUCUAAAAAUACUUGAAUUCUGAUGAUACUAUAUUUCUUCCAUACUUCACAAUUGGUUAAAAACAAGAGAAAACAAUAUAGAAACAAAUAUAGAUAAAUGAGAAGAUAAUGUAUUAACAAUUUAAAAAUAUAAAACAGGCCUGAUGGUACUCAUACUGAACUCGAAUUAAAACCCAAAGUAAAAAAAGUGAGUUUUAAGAUGCG
ensembl:lncRNA